rnacentral:lncRNA from 1 species
AGUUUGGCCAGGGUAGUCCCAAGUUUUUACAAAUGGUCCUUGCUCUCUGAUGUCCCAGCCAAAGUGGGGAGAAUAAGAGAGAGAUGAGUGUUCCUUAAUGGGAUUGUUGUGCAUGUGUAACUCCUGGGUGUGGUGUUCUGUCCCAUCUAGUGACACCGAGACCACUUAGAGAGCAAGAGAGAGAGAGAGAGAUUGCAUCUGCUCUACAACCUUACCUGACAGCCAGUUGGCUUUUAGCUCAUGUGGUAGAGGCUCAUGCACUAAGCUCCAGAGGCCGCCUAGGUUCGAUCCUGCCCACCAAUGACCAGGGUCUGUCCGUGUUACACAUGCCACAGAAGGCAGCGAUGGUGCAGUCCUGAGAGGCUGCUGGGAUCAGUCAGCAGCUCAGUUCUUGAAGUGUGGACACCAUCAAGAAGCCCAACAUGCUAUUUGUGGUAUUUCCUAUACACAGAAUAGGAAUACUGUAAAUAUCUUGGAAUCUUUAACAACUCUGGAUGGUAAAUGUGCAUUUAUUUAUUUAUUUCUAUAUGGUGCUCAUUGGAGACAACUGUCGAAUA